rnacentral:rRNA from 1 species
ACCGGCGCACGGGUGCGUAACGCGUAUGCAAUCUACCUUGUACAGAGGGAUAGCCCAGAGAAAUUUGGAUUAAUACCUCAUAGUAUCUUCGGAAGGCAUCUUCUGAUUAUUAAAGUUCCAACGGUACAAGAUGAGCAUGCGUCCCAUUAGCUAGAUGGUAAGGUAACGGCCUACCAUGGCAACGAUGGGUAGGGGUCCUGAGAGGGAGAUCCCCCACACUGGUACUGAGACACGGACCAGACUCCUACGGGAGGCAGCAGUGAGGAAUAUUGGUCAAUGGGCGCAAGCCUGAACCAGCCAUGCCGCGUGCAGGAAGACGGUCCUAUGGAUUGUAAACUGCUUUUAUACGGGAAGAAACACUGCUACGUGUAGCAGCUUGACGGUACCGUAAGAAUAAGCAUCGGCUAACUCCGUGCCAGCAGCCGCGGUAAUACGGAGGAUGCGAGCGUUAUCCGGAAUCAUUGGGUUUAAAGGGUCCGUAGGCGGUCUUAUAAGUCAGUGGUGAAAUCUCCUAGCUCAACUAGGAAACUGCCAUUGAUACUGUAGGGCUUGAAUUAUUGGGAAGUAACUAGAAUAUGUAGUGUAGCGGUGAAAUGCUUAGAUAUUACAUGGAAUACCAAUUGCGAAGGCAGGUUACUAUCAAUAUAUUGACGCUGAUGGACGAAAGCGUGGGGAGCGAACAGGAUUAGAUACCCUGGUA